UCAAAUACCUGGCAGGGGAGAUACCAUGAUCACGAAGGUGUUUUCCCAGGGCCAGGCUUAUCCCCUGCACUUUGGACAUGUUGGUCCCUGCAAUUUCCCCAAAUGUGGGCAACCCAUCUGCAUCAUUUGUGGUAGUGUUGGACUGUGUUCUCACUUUCUCCUG